GGGCGGUUAGCUCAGUUGGUCAGAGCAUCUGCUUUACACGCAGGGGGUCAGAGGUUCAAGUCCUCUACCGCCCA
rnacentral:tRNA from 1 species